UUGCCAGGAGGGUUCUGUGAAGUGACUCAUGGUCAGCCCAGAAGGCAGUUGUAGAGCACAGAUUCCCUGUCUGAACAGUCCUGAAGGCUCAGAAAUGUCACUUGGGCUCAGUCACUGCAGGCUUGGGACGUUGCUGCAAGGAACCACAGAGUGCUCAGUCUGUCUCACGACUGUGUUCCUUGUGACAGAACAGCAAGCUCUUUCCUGAAGGGAGAGCUGAACAGCGCAGUCCACAAAGGUGGCAUGGGCUUGGUGAGUGGGAGCUUCUGCCUCUGCGGCCAUCUGUCUGUGUGUUUGGGAUGCCAGUUUCCAGGCGCAUGCCGCAACGGGGGAGUUCGUUUUACCUACUUGGUUAUUUAAUAGCAUGAUUAUUGCUUCUUGGUUAUUAACAGAAUGCAAGACCUGGGUUCUCUGUGCCCAUUUGCAUGUGCUCCAGCUAUGAAUAGGUCCAGUUCCCAGAUCUGCUAUCUCCAUCCUUCUACACACACACACACACACACACACACACACACACACACAGAAUGCAUCAUAGGGAUGCUCUUUGAAUGCUUGCAUGCCCACCACAGUGAGGACUUCUCACCAGGGUCACUAAUGGUCCACUCACUGGUGUUACUCUAAAGCAACUGUCUUCCAGCUUCAGCUUGCACCCAUAAGCAAAGCCAACCCAUUUGCAAAUCAAAUUCAGGCCCUCCCUCAUCCCUCAGCCAGUCUUCUGUGACUCCCUGCUUGCUCCCACCUAAUGGAUGGCCAUAGAAACGCUGUCAGGAAGGGAAGCUUGUUGGCACAAC
rnacentral:lncRNA from 1 species